rnacentral:rRNA from 1 species
UACGUAGGGUGCGAGCGUUGUCCGGAAUUAUUGGGCGUAAAGAGCUCGUAGGCGGUGUGUCACGUCGGCCGUGAAAACCUGCAGCUUAACUGUGGGCGUGCGGUCGAUACGGGCAUCACUGGAGUUCGGCAGGGGAGACUGGAAUUCCUGGUGUAGCGGUGAAAUGCGCAGAUAUCAGGAGGAACACCGGUGGCGAAGGCGGGUCUCUGGGCAUCUCCUGACGCUGAGGCGCGAAAGCGUGGGGAGCAAACGGG